UUCACCUUCUGAGGCCUCCCCAGCCAUGUGGAACUAGCCAUCUUUCUCCUCUCUUUUAACAAAGCACCCUCGCUGUUGGUCCCUGCAAGCUUCAAAGAAUAAAAGGCAAUGCAGAGAAGGUCCUCUCAGAUCUACCAUGUGAGUGCACACAUCCUUCCAGUCAACCAGAGAUUCUGUGCAUUUCUUCUGGAGAGAUCUGAUGCACAGUGAUAACUCGGCGAUACCUACACAAACUGUAGGCCAUUUUCCAGUGAUUGAAGCCACUGUUCUGGAAAGGAUGUAUGCCCAGCUUUCGAAGACACAGUCCCACAUAUACGUCUUCAAGGUGAAGCAGCCUUGUGUGGAGUGAGGUCUUGUAAAUGAGUUCAGCUACAUCGGCUGAAAAGAUGUAGCCAGUCCCCGAACAGAAAGGUGGGGUCGCUUUGGGACUCUGAGAUUCUCACGCAGGAAGUUUACUGGAGCAUGUUCUUAGGAACAACACCUGUCUCUAAUGUGAGAGGAGAAAGAAGAAGGCAAAGGGAGAGUCUGAACCUUGAUGCAGUCACAGCACAGACCUGAGCUGACCCUGCAGGGAGCUCUGGGGCUGGGAUGGUUCUGCAGAGUCCAGUGCGUGCCAGGCCAGCUUGCAUGGGCUUGGGCAGAGCUGGUGGUGCGCACUUCUUCCCAACUUCACAUUCAAUGACAUCAUGUUGAUAUCUUGAAACUGGUGGCACAUACGUUUAUAACACAAAAAUAGGCAAUGCUAGAAACCAGGGGUUCUCCCACUUCCCUUGCCUAGAAAGCUGGUUUGCCAGAAAAGCCACAGUGAAGAAAGAUUGCUUCCAUAUCUAUCUCUGUGCCCAAAUUCAUGCAAUAAAUUCUUCGCUGU
rnacentral:lncRNA from 1 species